rnacentral:misc_RNA from 1 species
UUCAUGGAUUAUCUUACA